AUAAAUUUCUGACACCAUUGGAAAAUCGCCGCCGGUCAACGGCCGGCGCGUGGUGGUCACGCGCCGGUGACACUUCACCAGAAUGUGGGGAAUUUUGUUACGGACCCAAUUCCAUCAUCGGUUUUUCCACAUGAGGCCCAGACAGUGCUCAAUCAGGGCCGAAAGACCUAUGCUACUGCAGUUUCUGGCCGUCCGGGCCUGUCUCAAGCUGAACGGAGUUCACGAAAGUCGUUUGCAUCGGUUAUACAGGGUAUAGAUGACUCUUCCACUGCUGGGUUUGCUGCUAAAGAACCCGUUAUACAUAUGGGUGAGCCGGCAGUAGUUUUAACUGAGUCCGAGGAGGCUACACUCGCUGAUCCUUACAAGUAUACACUUGUGGGGAAAUUUCCACAUCGCAAGCCAACUAUGAGGAAGGUGCGUGAGAAUUUUUCUAAGUUUGGGUUCCAUGGUUGUUUCGAGGUGGGAUUGAUUGACACAACACACAUUCUUAUACACCUUACACAUGAAGAGGAUUACAGCAGGCUUUUUCUUAAACCUUCAUGGUAUAUUGAUGGUUGUCCGAUGAGAGUCCUUAAGUGGACAUGUGACUUUACACCUGAGCAAGAGACUCCGAUAGUUCCCGUAUGGGUAUCGUUCCCUCUGCUUCCAGUACAUUUACGUGCGAAGGGGUUCCUUUUCGCUUUAUCUGGGGCAAUAGGAAUGCCCUUGAGAAUUGAUGAGGCCACCACCGACUUGAGACGACCUAGUGAGGCAAGGGUGUGCAUUGAGGUGAACUUGGGGCAUAAGUUGCCCGACAGGGUUUGGAUUGAGCGUGCUGGUAACCGUGGCUUCUGGCAGACAGUUAUCUAUGAGAAGCGACUGAUUUUUUGCUUCUCUUGUAAACACUUGGGUCAUUCUUAUGAUCAGUGUACUACGGUUCCUCCUCCUCCUCCUGCAGUUGUUGUGCACCCCCCUGUUCGGCCCCCUAUUACUAGGACUGAUAAGGAUAAGGGCAAGGUGACGUUUGUGGAGCCAAAGAAGCAGUGGGCUCCAGUUUCAGCAGUGCCUUCUGUGCUUCCCACUACUACUACCGUAGUUGUGACAGAGUCAGAAUCUGCAUCGACAGUUCCUACCUCUACUCGUAUCACAGUUGAUCCAGAGGUACCUCCGUAUAUUCAUUCAGUUGCUGAGCCUACUCCAAAUGCUCCUAUCAAAGUACCCACUUCUCCUAUUAUUACUUCCAUAGCUCCUAUUCCCACAGCUACUACUGAUGUACCCCCUGAGCCGACGCAUAUGAGUUCUCCACCAUUGAAGACACACACAGAUGGUACCCAAUCAGCGCAGGGAUCAGGUACCGGGACAGUUCCUCAAACCACUCUUGCACAGGGGUUGUUGGCUGAGAUCAGCUCAGAGCGACAUGGUGUCAAGCAUAUGUUGAUUGAUCACUUUAAGAAGGACCAUGGAAUGAAAGUUGGAUCUACCAUGAGAUUUGCUAUUGAGGACUUGGUUUUUAAGCUCUUUGGAGAGGGACCUUCUGUGAGUAAGACUCCUACGCAGACACCUUCACCUAGUCCUUCUAUCACAGCUCCUACACAUAAUAAGGUCAAAGAGCAUAUACAGAGAGACAUGGAUGGCAUGGGCCUUGGAAACUGCAUGCAAAAUGCAGAGGAUGAUGUCCCUACAGCAAGCAGGUCAAUCUCCCGCGAUUCAGAUGUCGUAGUACAGAACACCAUGAGAUUAGACGCACCUACGACUAGUACAAUGAGAUCAGAUGCACCCGCUUUUCGCCCGACAUUCAGUGCACCACCAUCUGAACAGUACUUAUCAACAAAGCAGGCUCCUACACGCAGGCGAGA
rnacentral:lncRNA from 1 species